rnacentral:rRNA from 1 species
UUAAGAAAAUUUUUAUAAAAAAUAAAAAAGAUAAAUUUAAAAUUUUUUUUACUUCUAAAAUAAAAUAAAAAUAUCUUUGGUUGGGGCAACCACGAAGAAAAAAAAACCUUCGUUUAAAAUAAAAAAUUUACUAAUUUAAAACUUUAAAUAAGAAAAAAGAUCCAGAAAAUACUGAUCAAAGAAAAAAGUUACCGCAGGGAUAACAGCGUUAUUCUCUUUAAGAGCCCAUAUUGACAAGAGAGUUUGCGACCUCGAUGUUGGACCGGGGCACCCAAGAGGUGUAGCAGCCUCUAAAGGUAGGUCUGUUCGACCUUUAAAGCCCUACGUGAUCUGAGUUCAGACCGACGCAAGU